GUUAUUAUAUUGUCCAGGAAAAGCUUUCUUAUUGAGUUGUGUCUAUCCAGCCAGGUCAGCUGAAAUAGAGAAGGAAAUGAGGACACUGAGUCAAUUAUUGUGAUAUACUCCCACCCAACAAAGCUACAUGAAAUUAAGAGGCAACAGAUCAGUAUCCACAAUCCUGCAUCCAAGUGGUCAAUCAGACUGAAGCUGCAGUUCCAGCCAGCAGAUCAUUCUUCAGCAUCUACGUGUGGAAGAAGAGGCCCUGCACUGGACUAUAGACUCUUAAAACACCUUUGCUCACGGCAUCGCUCUUGCAGAGACCCUGCACAGUUUUGUUGAAUGUCGAAGCUCUAGACAUCUGGGGUCAAGGGCCGUUUUCAUCCUUUGCCAUCAAGUACUCAAGAAAAAGAGUCCCUGUGAUUGAGAGUAUAUUGAGUGCUUGAAAAGAGUAAGGGGGAGCUUAAGGUGGGGAAACCAGGCGGAUAGGAUGUCCUUCGGAGUUCAUGUAGGCCUAGCACUGGGAGGAGAGAAACAAAACGAAGCAUAAAAAGGCAGACUACUAUUUGAAGGAAUUCUCCAGCUGACUUGACCGUCCUGUUCAUAUUCACUGUGAAGAUAAGACCAUAAGAAGAGACAGCAGGAUCCUGAGAUCCACCCCUUAGAUCUCCAUCUGAGGCUCUUAUGAGGGAACCCCCUCCUCAGGAUAUAAGGUGGGUGGCUACAAGAAGAAGGCCCUUUUCAGGAAUGGCAGACCAACUUUGGAACAAGCUCUCUGGAGAGGCUCACCUGGCGCCAUCUUUGCAUUCUUUUCAGCACCAACUGAAGACCCUUUGGUAUUUUAAUUGGUAAAGUGCUUUUUUAUUGCUAUCUUAACAUUAAAAUAUGGCUUUUAUGCA